GCUCCGACUCCUCCGCUGUUGCAGUUGUUGUUGUUGUUGCCCUCUGCAUCUCUCUCUCCGUCGCCGCUCCUCGUCCACGCCCUCCCGUCGACCCCGUCGAGGGAUAACCGGGAGUUUGACCGGAUGACAGCGCCAUAGAAAGAGAGAGUUACAACACUCCCAUUGACUUCUGUAGAAAGAAUGGAAUGCAGAAGUCACGUGGGUCAUGGAGCUGCUAAUAGUUCCAAACACCAGCAGCUCCAGCACUGAACGUAAUUCAUUCUCGUUGUUUCGGAAGGAUUUUUUACGGUAAACCACACGAGAAUGGCUUAAAUGAACUGCUGAACCAUGUUGCAUACAAAGGAGGUCAGCAGAUGUGGUGACUGACUUCAAAGGGAGCUGCUGCCAAUGAUGCCAAGGAGGAUGAACCCUCAUUCGGACUUGGGCACAUUUUUACCUUGUCCAGAUUUGAGCAGAUACAGUUUAUUGGUGCAGAUGUAAUUAAUAAACUGUAUAAAUGGUAGUGCAAGUACUUCUUUAUUAAAGCUAGUUUUGCAUUUUACAUAUCUUA